UACGUAGGGGGCUAGCGUUGUCCGGAAUCAUUGGGCGUAAGGCGCACGUAGGCGGCCCGGUAAGUCCGCUGUGAAAGUCCAGGGCUCAACCCUGGAAUGCCGGUGGAUACUGUCGGGCUAGAGUCCGGAAGAGGCGAGUGGAAUUCCUGGUGUAGCGGUGGAAUGCGCAGAUAUCAGGAGGAACACCAAUAGCGAAGGCAGCUCGCUGGGACGGUACUGACGCUGAGGUGCGAAAGCGUGGGGAGCGAACAGG
rnacentral:rRNA from 1 species